AGUCACUGACAUUAGAUACCCCCGUAGUCCAGGGUGUAAACGCUGCAGACUUGGUGUUGGAGGCCCUUUGGGGGCAUUCAGUGCCGGAGAGAAGUUGUUAAGUCUGCUACUUGGGAGUACGUCCGCAAGGAUGAAACUUAAAGGAAUUGGCGGGGGAGCACCGCAACGGGAGGAGCGUGCGGUUUAAUUGGAUUCAACACCGUAAACUCACCAGGGAAGACUGUUACAUGAAGGCCGAGCUAAAGACUCUGCUAGAUUUUCAG
rnacentral:rRNA from 1 species